CCUUAUAAAGCUGUCAUACGCACCUAUAAAAGGAAUAAUACACUGACGAAAGUAACUCUAACCAGAUAGAGCUUUUGACCUCACGACAGUUAAGACACAAACUAGGAUUAGAUACCCUACUAUGCUUAACCAUAAAUAGACCUUUACCACUACUUACUUGUUUAAGUCCGCCUGAGUACUACAAGCGCUAGCUUAAAACCCAAAGGACUUGGCGGUGCCCCAGACCCCCCUAGAGGAGCCUGUUCUAUAACCGAUAAUCCACGUUAAACCUUACCACUUCUUGCUCUUACCGCCUAUAUACCGCCGUCGUCAGCUCACCCCAUGAGGGUAUAAAAGUAAGCACAAUGGACUUCCUCCAAAACGUCAGGUCGAGGUGUAGCGAAUGAAGUGGAAAGAAAUGGGCUACAUUUUCUCUUAAGAAAACACGGACAGUAGAAUGAAAAAUCACUUAUAAGGUGGAUUUAGCAGUAAGAGAAACUUAGGAUAUUUUUCUGAAACCGGCUCUGAGGCGCGCACACACCGCCCGUCACUCUCCUCAACCUAUGCUACUCUAUUCUAUAAAUAAAUUUUUAUCACAAGAGGAGGCAAGUCGUAA
rnacentral:rRNA from 1 species